GCCGGGCACAGUGGUGCAUGCCUGUAAUCCCAGCAACUUGGGAGGCUGAGGGAGGAGGAUCGUGAGUUCAAAGCCAGCCCCAGCAAUUUAGCAAGGCCCUAAGCAACUCAGUGAGACCCUGUCUCUA
rnacentral:sRNA from 1 species